rnacentral:rRNA from 1 species
CGUGUAGGCGGCCUCUUAAGUCUGGUGUGAAAGCCCGGGGCUUACCCCCGGAAGGGCACUGGAAACUGGGAGGCUAGAGUACCGGAGAGGAGGGUGGAAUUCCUGGUGUAGCGGUGAAAUGCGUAGAUAUCAGGAGGAGCACCGGUGGCGAAGGCGGCCCUCUGGACGGAUACUGACGCUGAGACGCGAAAGCGUGGGGAGCAAACAGGAUUAGAUACCCUGGUAGUCCACGCUGUAAACGAUGGGCACUAGGUGUUCGGGGUAUUGACCCCCUGAGUGCCGCAGCUAACGCAUUAAGUGCCCCGCCUGGGGACUACGGCCGCAAGGUUAAA